rnacentral:rRNA from 1 species
UACGUAGGGUGCAAGCGUUGUCCGGAAUUAUUGGGCGUAAAGGGCUCGUAGGCGGUUUGUCGCGUCGGGAGUGAAAACCUUGGGCUUAACUCAGGGCUUGCUUUCGAUACGGGCAGACUAGAGGUAUGCAGGGGAGAACGGAAUUCCUGGUGUAGCGGUGAAAUGUGUAGAGAUCGGGAGGAACACCGGUGGCGAAGGCGGGUCUCUGGGCCGAUAUUGACGCUGAGGAGCGAAAGCGUGGGGAGCGAACAGG